UACGGGGGGGGCAAGCGUUGUUCGGAAUUACUGGGCGUAAAGGGCUCGUAGGCGGCCUACUAAGUCAGAUGUGAAAUCCCCAGGCUCAACCUGGGAACUGCAUCUGAUACUGGCAGGCUUGAAUCCGGGAGAGGGAUGUGGAAUUUCAGGUGUAGCGGUGAAAUGCGUAGAUAUCUGGAGGAACACCGGUGGCGAAGGCGGCAUCCUGGACCGGUAUUGACGCUGAGGCGCGAAAGCCAGGGGAGCAAACGGG
rnacentral:rRNA from 1 species